rnacentral:misc_RNA from 1 species
GAUAUUGAAUCCAGCUUUAGCACUUGUUUCGAUAAACAUGACAUUUAGUUCACGGGCUUUGGCUUCUCCUUCCUCUAUGGAGACUUGUCUCUUCUCCACGAGGUCCGUUUUGUUCCCAACAAGCACUAUAAUGACAUCACUGCCCCUCUCAGUGCGCACCUCCUCAAUCCAUUUUGAAGUGUUUAGGAAAGUUUGCCGGCUUGCAACAUCAUAAACGAUGACAGCGACAGAUGAGUCCCUGAUAUAGCUUGGAAUCAGA